rnacentral:rRNA from 1 species
AUGGCUAGACGACUGAUGGACCUUUGGAAUGAAUGGGAGAUCCAAAUCCUGGUACUUGUCAGCUACACAUUGCAAGUCAUCCUUGUUGCCCUCGCCAGGAACCGUCGGCUCCAGGCCUCUGCCGUGCGGAGGUUGGUCCUCUGGCUUGCAUACCUGCUGGCAGACUCCACAGGGUUAUAUGCCAUCGGCCACAUAUCCCUUAGCAGCAGGCUUCCUGAGCACCGGCUGGUUACUUUCUGGGCACCGUUUUUGCUGCUGAACCUGGGUGGCCCGGACAACAUCACCGCCUAUUCACUUGAUGACAAUCGACUCUGGUUGCGCCACAUGCUAACUAUGGUAGUGCAGGUCCUGGGAGCUGCAUAUAUUGUCUACAGGUCUGCCACUGCCAACGGGACAUUUGUGUUUAUCGCUUCCCUCUUGAUGUUCACUGUCGGUGCUGUAAAGUAUGGGGAGAGGACAUGGGCACUCAAGCGUGCGAACCUAGAGAGUAUCCGGAGUUCCCUCAACAAAGCCUGUGGCAAGGAGUACUGUUAUGCUAAGCCUAAAAGUGCCAAAGGAAAGAUUGAUGAUGAAGCCCUCCGGAUGACUGCUCAUUCCCUGUUUUAUACUAUUUGCAUGCAAGCCCUAGUUAGUUCUUCAUCGGCCACCAAGACAGGUCUAAGUGAAGACCGGGUUCAUGUAAUGAGAUAUUCCUUUGUAUGGCGGGAUAUGUGGAAGAUGGUUGAAAUGGAACUCGCGCUGAUGUAUGACAUACUGUACACCAAGGCUGCAGUGAUCCACACAUGGUCUGGCUACUGCAUCCGGGGCCUUUCACCACUCAUCAUCACAACUGCGUUUUUGCUCUUUCAGUUCAGUGGAGAAGAUGGUUACAACAAGAUGGACGUCGUUGUCACUUAUGUUUCAUUUUGUGGUGCCUUCAUUCUGGAGCUAUCGUCGCUACUCGGAGCUAUGGGAUCAAGCUGGACAAGGGCAAGGGCAGGCCAACGAACCUGGCUUCUUUGUCUCCACCGGUGUGUCAAUUAUAUCAAGUUAGGGAACCACAAGAGGUGGCCAAGCACCAUUGGGCAGUAUAACUUGCUGCACUUGUCCACUCGUGAUACUAAUGAGCUUGGCAGCGGAGCAGCAAAGAAGAUUGGACUCGAGGACUGGUGGAACAAACAGCACAACACAGGGAAACUUACAAGUACUGCGGAUGUCAACAAGUUGGUUUUCAAGCAUAUAUCAAGAACAUUGGAGAAUGAAGACUCCUUGGACGUGCUCAGGAAAGAGAGGGGCCGGGUGACACUCGAGAGAAAUGGAUUGUAUGAUGAUCUUCACCGUACUAUCGAGGGAGAAUUUCAUGGGGGCAUUAUCACCUGGCACAUCGCCACUGAUGUCUUCCUCUGCAAGAGCAAGCAAGCCAAGGGACAAGAUGCAACACUAAUUGUCAACGCGGUUCAGACCCUCUCCAACUACAUGAUGUUCCUCCUAGUGGCACGCCCCUAUAUGCUGCCAGGCCUUGUCCUCCAAAGCCUGUAUGAGCAAACCUGCAAUGGUUUGCUCGAUCUGUGGCAUCAGGAUGGCUCAACUGACACCGAUUGUCAAGCAUCUUCUCACUCAAGCCACCCCAACAGCUGGAGCUUAAUUUACCUGCCUAAGAAAAUUUUCAAGGCUGACGAUCCAAAUUCUUCCAGGCUCCCCGAGAGAGAGAAGCUUGCCCAGAUCCUGCUCAACAGAAACGCUGGCUCGCUGAAUGACGACACCGCUAGAAAACCUGGCCUUGUUCUAGCUGCUCAGCUGGCGGAUAAGUUGCUAGCCAAGGAGAUGGAGAUGGAUGUGCCAGAUAUGUUGGACGUCAUCCUUGGAGUGUGGGUGGAGAUGCUAUGCUACGCAGCCAACCGAUGUAGCAAGGAUGCCCACGCCAGGCAGCUCAACAGCGGCGGCGAGUUGACGACCAUCGUCUGGCUUCUCACAGAACAUGCUGCCCUUUUCCCUGUCGACGAAUCUCGCAAUUGUGCCCUGAUAGAAUAA